UACGUAGGAUGCAAGCGUUGUCCGGAAUCACUGGGCUUAAAGGGCGCGUAGGCGGGCUGUCAAGUCUGGGGUGAAAUCCCGCGGCUCAACCGUGGAACUGCCUCAGAUACUGACGGUCUCGAGGGAGGUAGGGGCGAGCGGAACUGAUGGUGGAGCGGUGAAAUGCGUUGAUAUCAUCAGGAACUCCGGUGGCGAAGGCGGCUCGCUGGACCUUUUCUGACGCUGAGGCGCGAAAGCUAGGGGAGCAAACGGG
rnacentral:rRNA from 1 species